AAAGUCAAUAACGUCGCCUGCCACAGUAUCAGAACACCGAACGAAGCAGAGCAAGCAUGUUCCGGUCCGUGGUCGCGUUCGCAUUUUUCGCUGCGAUGCUCGUCGCUUCUGAGAUGGAAACGACGGCUCAGGAAGGAGUGGCUUGCCCAGUGAAUGAACUUUGGUCGCCUUGCGCAAGAGCGUGCGAGCCAACGUGCAUCAAACCCCAGCAAUGUUAUGCCAAAUGCAGAGCGGAUAGCCCUGGGGGUUGCCGUUGCCAAGAUGGAUACGUCAGGAAUCCAAACAGCGAUCAAUGCGUGUUACUUGGAGAGUGUUAAUUCGUUCAUUAUAAUAUUAGUGAUGUUAAAGGAUAUCAAUAAAGAGCAUUCUUAAAACAGCAACAAAAGGUGUGAUUACAAGCAAUUAUCAUUAUAAAACAGCAUACAAUUACAUUUACAAAUACAUUUAAAAACGGACACUAAAAAUGUUUUAAGAAGAGUUUGAAAAUAGGUCCGACAACAAGCGCAUCUUGAAAACAGCGUUUAGGUGUUCAGGAAAGUAGUAAUUAUGUUAAACAGAAAAGAUGCACCUUGGAAAUACGGAAUAUAAAUACUACCGUAAUCCAGCUGGUUUGCAUAAUUCAAACAGUUGGUAGCAAACGCUGAGCUAUUGCACGCGAAGAAUAUACCAGAAACAAGGAAAACCAUCCAGAAAUUCGCAUUCCCAUUUGUACUUCUUGUUGUGGCCUACGCGAUUGUCCAAGACUCGAGUGAGUGCGGAAAACUUGGAACUAAGACUUUGACGUAAAGACCGAGGCUUGUUGAAGUACAAGCGUGAGUGUAUUUCAUUGAUAUAAUCAGCCACGAUCGAGUAUUUUGAUGGUACAAACGAGAAUCAAUUUUUCAGUGGCGAAAAUGUAAAAAAGGAUGCAGAUGCAAGGGUUGGUAUAAUAGAGACAGAGAAGGUAAGUGCGUAAAGGCUGAGGAUUGUUAACUAGAUCGAGUUUUCAGAAGUAUUAAUUAACUUAAUCAUACUGCUAACUUCUAUACACGAAUAAAUACUGUUUAUUCAUCCGUUAUCUAAUACGAUGAAUAAAUGCUACUAAGCGCUUUUUUUAAAAUAAAACAGUAAAUUAUAAGCAGAUUAGAGUUUUUAUACAAAAUAUUUUUAUACGACACUGAAUGCGUGAGUUAAAAGUGAACUCUGUCAUUUGUCACGAAUAAAUUGUGACUUAUAACGCGUAGAAGAAAAAAGAUUUACACUAAUUAAUGGUUACUAGAGUUAAUACGGACACCAGAGUCUCUGACGAAAAAAGAACUUAAUUUGUUUACGGAAUCGUUACUUAGAUAAUAAUCAUGGUCACUCACAAAAAAGGCGCUGCCUCGAGUUCCGAUCAACGAUUCGAAUCGACUGUCCAAGAGCCGUUAAUACAUAGUUAAAUAUCACGUACUGCGUGCAUAAACUUUGGACUUUUCCGUCUAUUGCUUAAUCACCAAUCUGCGUGAUUUUCCUCGAUCAACACGGAUUCGUCGAACGAGUGCCACUGCCUUCCAUUGAAUGUCGACUGGGAUCCUAUCGGGGCUCGGCUUGUUUCACCUUCGUGUAGAACAGUUAUUGCUAACUGAAAACUCCGUUAAACGAUCGUGCGAUUAUUGAUAAUUCCUAAGCGGUGACUGGGCUUUUGUUACGCUUGGAACAGAAGGAACUGUGCGACUUGAUUGAAAAUUUCCCGACCGCAACGAAACCAUGGGAUUGACUAUAGUUCGUACAUCGUGUGGAACUUGGACUGGUUUAAUAUCUGCGAACAACCCUACAGAACACAGGAGACACUUGAACGAAAUUUUGAAAGAAGCCACGAUCAAAGAAACAAUUUGUUCGACGAGAGGGUCUCGCACGAUGAGAAAGGGAGAGUGUAUCGUGAAAAAUCCGGGUUUUCCAACAGGAUUUCACGAGAAAGGGUCGCGUCCGGUCGAGUGCCCUCGGAAAGCUCUCGUUCCUAUCAUAUUUAUGAGACAUCGAAUCGCGGGGUAAAUCAUGGUCGUUGAGAAAGUGACGAGCCCUACAUGCGUGCUGCUGACGUGUUACGUACGAGUGAGAAAUCGGCUCGAAAGCACGCUGUUCGAAUCCAGGCCACCCUUUGAAACCUGUCGAUUUCCCGCCAAGGGGAACGCGUUUCCAUCGCUUUUCUAUCCGCCGCCUCCCCCCCGUUUGGCACGCAAUCGCCCGGUAGAUUCGAGGAUCGAGUCGAAUUCAUCGCACUCGCCGCAUUUAGCAGCUGUCGAACCCGAUCAAGAUCGUUACGUUCGUGAUCUGGAAAUCUGGUGAAACGGGAGCGAAACGAUACACGCCUCCCUUUGUCCGGCGACAAUGCUACGAAAUAACAGGGUCGUAGGCCUGUGCUCCUGGAUCGAAGGGAGAUCGUAUGAAACAACGAUUAGUGAGGACACAGCCGGUCCCUCCGAAAAGGAACGCGACACGAAGUCUUUCUUUCCUGGCUGUGGCAGUUCUUUAUAAUAGAGAGCGGACACGGGUAUAAACGGGAUCGAUUCAAAAUUAAUCCUCUAUUGUCGCAUAGCUCCUUUUCACAGUACCUACUGGAUCUGUUCGCUGUGGGAUCGUCCCGAGAAAGUGUCGUUUCAAGAAACGAGCAUUCAAUUGAUCGAAAGAAUCGUGUCUGACCAAUGUCGCACCUAUUCUACUGAAUACGUCCAUCCUCGUUUGGAACAAAAUUACUUACGGUAAAAAUGCCGGAACUAUUUUCGAGCAAUGUUAUCAUAAGUUUCCUCUUCGGGAAAACAGUGCUGAAGAAUCAAGCAGUGUUCCAAGAAAAUCCGUUGGUCGGAUCCGGGUUACGCAAGACGAAUCGAUCGGAGGAAAAAUCGAGAAGCUACAUGACUUUUUGCACGUCUCGCGACGAAACGCCAAGUGCAAUUUUCUAGCGACGGAAGAGAAGACGUCGGAGUCAUCGGGUUGCGUCUGGUCAGAGAUUGUUACGCAACGCAAGGCGCCCGGCGCUGCACAGCCUGACUCCGGUGUUCUGCCAGCAAACAACUUACAUAAUGCCGUAUAUUUAUCCACCGGCACCGAGUUUACUGCACUACCGACAACGUCCCCCCUCUCUCUCUCUCUCUCUCUUUUGUACACGGUAACGCCGGCACGCGUGUCGGGAAAAGCGUGCUCCAAAGCGAACGUGUUCAUUACGCGGCCUCGGCUGCCAGCGAAACACGCGUCACGUGUCCGCGGCCGCUGUCUCAUUAAGAAACGCCGGCUGCUUUUCGGUCCGCACUGCUCUAUCGGGCCGCGUAUUCAUUAAGAAACCGUGUUUGACUAUUUCCAACCAACAUCUACGCAGACCUCUUUUACCAGGGAAAUGCGAUCUUAAACACUGCGAGAAAGAACGUGCGACUUUUAACGAUUACCUCGGUUGCAAAUAUGUAAGCUUGAGAGUUUGUCGCAAGAAAUCAUUAGAGACUUCGAUGAACGAUGGAAAAACGUGUACGGAAUCGGUGUUACAAUCAUGUUACUCCGCAAUUCCGAGCAUACUACGUUCGAAACGUGAAACACCACUCGCAGAUGUUCACUGAUAUUAUGUAUCGAACGAGAUAUCCAACGAUGUCGCCGGCCAAGUGAACAGAUAGACGUAUUCCUAGGAAUCUCUUAUCGCGUGCUCGCACGUACGCAUGAGAUAGCUCGACUUCACAGAGACGCAAUAGCACGGGAAUAGACGGUAAACAGGCACCGACGCCAGACGACGGUGUCUAACCUAGCCCAAGAAAAAGCUGAUUGCCAACCUCCCGGUAGCUUCGAUAUAAGGUAAAGGAGGUAGUACCUGGACACUUUUGAACAUAAAUUUUUUAUAAUGUUUUUUUACUACGAAAUUUAAGCAUAGUACAUGAAAACUUAUCAUCUUAGCAGAUAGCUGGGAUCUCAUAGUCAUAUUUAAGAAAAAAAAACCUUCUUUUGUAAUAUAUGUAUUAAAAUAAUCGCAUUAAAAAAAAAUUGCUGUCAACCGCAGUAGUAGGACACAUUUAAUCUGAACGAGUGGUGUAGUAGGACAAGUAUGGAAUCAGAACUGGGACAAUAUUAUUAUGACGCCUCUAAGCGAAUUGAGAAACAGUUGGAUUAAGAGAAAGGGUUGAAAAGUUAUGAAAAUACACUAAAUCAUUUAUUGUGAAAAAUAUAUCAUACGUUUGAAUGGGUUUUAUAGCAGAUCCGAAUUUAUCCAGGUAUUGCAGCGCGAUUAAUUAGUGAGGGGGCUAAACCUGGACAGCCACUGCCGUCUUGUCCCACUUGUACGUAUUAAGUUUCAAAAAGGAGUGUAAACUUGGACAGUAAAUUAUUAAAUACAUAUCUAUUAUGUCCAAGUACUGGUUCCAAAAUUCGUUUUGUCCCAGUACUACCUCCUUUACUUUAUGAUCAGCCGUGUUCAUCCGGUAAGCGCAGAAAACGAAAGCUGCAACGCGGUUUCAGAAUCCAAUUGAUUCGUCUUCCAAUUUGGCUAAUAAGAACGAUUGAAAUUUCAGCUUCAGCGAGCUUCGAUCUCUUAUACGAUUUAAUCCUCAGACCAUGAAAAUUCAUAUAAUUUGUUCGUUUUUAGGUAAAAAUCGCCUAUUUUGUUUAACAGACAAAGUGUGGUAAUUCUUUGGACAGGAUUGGACUCUAUUGUAGGACUACUGUCGCUGAUGCGACGGUCAUAAAAUUUGAUCUCAAGUACACAGUGAAGCGAUGUCGUUCAAUUAUUUUCGUGGUUCAUCCUUAUUCGCGAAAAACGUAAGUUCGCGACGCAGUAGGUCCCUCGACGGCUCGGUGCAUGAUUCACCGGGCACAUUGAUAUAUGAAUGUAUACAUAUAGAAGAACAAACGCGAUACCACGGUCCAUCACGUAGAGGCGCACGGUCACGUAGCCAGUUUAUUGCGCGCAAGCGUGCAAGUUCAUAAGAACGUGACGUAACAGCAGGUAUCUCUUUCGCACUCGAGCGGUUUCUUCGCGAAGCGAACCGCGCGAGGUGAUACGCGUGGGUUUAUGCUGACGUUGUGUAUAAUAACGCAACCUCGACAGACGGAAUUACACUAACCUAGCGCAAAGAAAAAACCGGUCGUCCCACCGGGUGUCGCAUAUAUGUAUAACAGCGUACAAACAUGUUUAUCCGGAACGCGAUUCCGUGACGCAUUCUAAUGACACGAAUAGCAGAGCAUUGUAUGCGUUUUACGGAUCAGUGAAGCCUCUUGGCGAAGCCGGGCCGUGAACUUUAACUCCGCGAGAUACCAGGAUAUCGCGAAAGAAAGUGGCUCGCCCAAUUCUAUAAUUAAACGCGAGCCGCCAGUCAACUCUUAAACGUAUCGUUCUAAUCUUUUAUCCAGUUUCACUCUUAGACAAGGAGUUUCAUGGUACCAAGUCUAUUUUUAAUCCGGCUUUUAAACAGAUAACGAGACAAAAUAUAGUGAGAACCGUCAAUGGAAAAUUCCAAUGGCGUUGGCGAGGUCGUGGUGUAUCGGAGACGAUCAUCCGAUAAGAAGAGGGCAAACCGGGAGAUCUCUUUCAGGGUUGAUAACGGCUCGGCGAUAUCGGUUUUAUCAGGCUUGGCCGCGUGGAGUGGGAACGUCGUUCGGUGGCCGCCGCGUGCUGCCGGUUGGCUGACGCUUAAGAAUAGAGCUAGUAAAUAGCUCCGGCAACGAUAUAUUACUAACCUAGCCCAACGCAGCGCGCGUUGCACGGCCGGCUCGACCCUGAGGCAAAAGUAGCGACGUGUACUGCCUGCUCGCGGCGCGGCCUAGCCUCUAGCCUAGCGGUCGUUGACUGAUUAUUUUAUGCGCUCGACGCAACUACGUGUAUCUUUUCUACGUGUAUCCAGGAAACCAACGGUCAUCCACUACGUUUUUUUAGACAUUUCUAUUCUAUUUAUUAUUAUCGAUUAUUUCGCUCUUUGAACAAGCGAAAUUCGAGUCAAAAGGAAAAUCCGAGCUAAAUUGUUUAAACUAAUUGCAAGAGUAGAACCAACGGAAUACCGACAGCGUUUUGAAAUAAAGUUGAGUUAUUUUA